UAUAUUGACUUAACUAUCCGUGUUUUAAUGUUGUGGGUGUGGACUUCAUUUUUUUAUGUAAAAAGUGUUUCCAAGUUUUGGGCGGUUAAUGUCCGUAAAAAAAAAGAACGAAUUCUUGAAAUUUUAAAUAUUUGGACUACAUGAUGUUUUGGAAUCAAAGGCGAUGCUUACGUGGUGGGCUCACCUCCUUUACUAUUUUCUUUUCCUUAACUCUGAUUUCUUAAAUAUCCUCCACGAAAGAUAUUUUUAAAGUCCAUUUAAACUACUGAAUGCUUGUAGACAUUUUAAGGCCUGUGUCUAAGUCCUCUUCUUCUUAUCUCAAGAACCGCAUCGAACUUUCUCUCAAGAUCUAUGGCGGAAGAGCAUCAACGUCAGACGCCGGAAGGCCACCGUCCGUGUUCUAUCAUCUGCGGCUUCCUCGACUGCCCCACCACCAAGAAUAUUUGCUCCAACUGCCACGGCCAUCUCUGCCUCAAGAAACAAACUUGCGUGAAAUCCACCUUGAAAUCCUCUAUCUCUGCAGUUCCCCCCCCCCCUCACAUCCGCUGAAUUGAGAUAAACGACGAAGAACGUGCCCUCAGACGACAAAACAGCCGUAGACGGGUUGAAAUGCCAAUCUGGGACGACUUGUUGCCCAUGCGCCCAUAUAUUCCCGGAGGUCCAUGGCUGCACCUUUCAUUUCAAAUCGCCGGUCGCGAAAAAAUUUGCUGGUCUCGAAUACUGAAAGUAAGAUUUCUCUCGAUAUUAGAAAAUAGAAGAACGAUGUUCAAGGGAUGAAUACUAACCUUUUUAUAGGUGAGAAUCACCGAUUGGAUGAUAGAUAAUAUUCAUUGAAUUAGAGAUUGUGGUCGUAGUUGUGAGGAAGAGUUAAGUUUGGGUUAAUGAUGCCCAAUCAAUGCGACUUGUAACGUUUCGGAAGUGAAGCAUCAAGUCUAAAACGUCAUGAGUCCGAUGGGAAGAUUGUUGACAAAUCGUCAGGUCACAUGCAAUCUUAGAACCACCGUUGACAGAAGCCGAUAGUCGUAGAACUGAUGAACCCUAAAAUUGUGAGGUCGAAAGAAGAUAAUGCCGAUAUGGACCUCUCUUUUGUAUGGAUUUGGGCUCAGAAAUAAGUUACUAUCAGUAUCUAUAAUUUUAUAUUCGGGCAAGCCCAUUAACAAAACAGAAAAGCAAUCGAUUUUUAAUUGAGUAUGCCCGAAAACUUCAAAAACCCGCGUAGCAAAAUGAGCCCAUUCAUCGAUGAGUUAAUGAUUUUCAAGCAGCCGACACGUGUCAGCACAAGAAUCUUCUAAUUUGUGACCUGGAUGCUGAGGUGGCUUCGCCAGGAGAGGAAAAACUCUUUUUUAUAUAGAAAGAUUAAUAGAAUUAAAAGCACUUACCUUAUUGGUGUUCUGUAUGUUGACCCCUCCCUUUUUCCUCUUCAUUGCAGAUCAAAAAAUGUAUGUUGUUUAUUGCAUGCAACACAUUUAUUAUUCUAUGAUUGUUUUUUGAUCUGCAAAUAAAUAAGUGAAUGGAAAGAUAAAUGCAGUA